UGGACAGCCUGAUCCCUCACUCUCGAGAUGGUUAUUAUGAACAUAUGGUUUUCUGACACCCGCACGGGCAGCUGGCUAAUCUGGCUUUAACUUUACGUUUUAAUCAAAUGUUUGAAUGAGCUGUUAUUUUCUGGUUCAGCUUCUUGCAGAAAGAGCAUCCAGCCGGGGAGAUGAGCAGCAAGGGCCGUCUGGGGGACCUGACGGAUCGGGAGCAGGACCAGCUGAAGAUGCGGCGGGACAGCGACACCAAGGCGGCCGAGCUGGUGAAGAUGGAGAAGAUGCUGCAGCAGACCAAGGGCAUGUUUGAGAAGAAGGCGGAAAGCAGCUCGGAGACCAAGAACUACGAGGAGAACAUGGAGGACCUGGAAGAGCGCGUGCGGUCCAGCCGGCGCUUCCGGCGUAACUCACUGCACCACACGCAGAUGCUGGAGAGCGAGAUGAAGACGGUGAAGGUGGAACUGGUGGGCACGCUGGACCACCUGCAGGAGCUGCGCAACGUGCUGCGCCGCUCCCAGCAGAAGGCCGAGGAGCGCAAGGUGGCUAUGGAGAAGCUGGCCGCGGGGCUCAGGUGAACCGCACGUUCCCCCAGCCGGCUUCCUCCUCCUCCGAUGUCCGUGAUUUAUGUUUACUCUUCGAGUACGCGCUUCGUUCCGGCAGGACGUUGUCGUCAUGUCGGAAACGACAUAUCGCUUCUCCUUCCCUGGUCCCUCUGGGUUCCCCCAUCACCCUUCACCAUGGGCACGUCGCCACACCCGGAGCAGCAAGACAGCGUAAAAACAAAGAGACGCACUGUAUGUUGUUCCCCAGUGUGCUAUAAAUACCCCCUCCGUGAUGCGGCUCCAGGCUGGCUUGUUUCGUUUGUUUUGAUGCAUUUCUUUUUUUAUUGGGCUUUGACUCUUAAGUCUUGUGUGGUGGACUGUUUAAAGUGCUUGUGUAACUAGAUUCAUUGGAAUAGGUUUUGUUAGCGCUAGUUUUUAAAUUGUAUUAUGUAAGGUUCAUUGUCCAGUGGUUGUCUCUUUGGAUAACGUUCCCCAACGGUGUAUUACAAGCACAGGUAAAAGUCGGUUUGUUGCAAAUUGUGUUGUCGAUGGUUGAUGAUUGAUUCGUAGACUUUCAGUUGGGAACGAUCUCCGGAGCAGCUGUUAGCAAACUGAAUGAUGGUAUGCUAGUAAAUUAACUUCAAUAAUAAACAUACAUAAAUGAGUAACAAACAAGAAUUCUGUGAUAAUUUUUAUGUUUUGAUAAAAAAGUACAAAUUUGUCAAGUAGUAAAAUUAUCAGACAUUAUAUUUGGAACAUUUCAACCUU
ensembl:lncRNA